ensembl:lncRNA
GGAUUAUUCACAAGAAAUACACACAAGAAAGGCUUUGAGGCUGUGACACGCUGCUCAUGUGUGAUACUGUCAUCAACUGCAGGAAUUAUGGAGACUAGCUUCCUCUGAGAGUUUCGGGGGCCUGUGGCCACAGUGUGCCCGGCUUCCCCUACCUCCCCCCAGCUUGAGGACGCAGAAUGGACAAGGAAACAGCCAAGGAGAAGCAGCCAGCAGGCUAAAGGCCGUGGGGUUCCCUGGCUGGUUUGGAACCGGUUCAGCAUCCUGGUGCCGACUGAGGACCUGAAGAGCAGGUGGAGCCUGACUCAGCACAGAAAGGCUCUUUCAGACGCUAAGUCCUUCCUGACUCUGUGUGACCGCAUGGACUACAGCCCACCAGGCUUCUCUGUCCUCCACGAUCUCCUGGCCCGUGCUCCAAUUCAAUUCCAUUGAGUCAGCGAUGCUGCUUAACCAUCUCAUCCUCUGCCGCCCCCUUCUCCUUUUGCCUUCAGUCUUGCUCCUACUCAACCUCCAGGUGGUGACCUAAAGGUCACUUUCCACAGGAAGCUUCUCUCCAUCACCUCUUAGCCUUUUCUAGGUGAAGUCGGCCAGCCACACCCACCCAUAUUGAUUUCUGUGCUUCCUCAAACGUCACUGUGAGUCUGAUUCACACAGCCCAUCCUUGAAUCUGGCAAUUGCUUUAUAGAAACAGGGACGGCUAACCAGCUCACUAUGUUAACCCCAGGCCAGGCAUUGUGGUGUUUGUGGAAUGAUGUGCCGGAUUAAUUCUUUAAUUAGUUUAGCAGGUAAUAAAAUCUUGUGAACAAAAAGCAUGUCUCCUCCAUAGAUGCUAAGUUCAGUUAGUCUCAGUUCAACAAAGCUGGACAAGCCCUCCAAGAGCAUGUUACAUAAACCCCCGAAUGGACCUUGUGUCAAAAUUCUGCUGCCAAAGUGAACAAGAGUCCUAUUUAGAAAAUUCUCUCUUAAGAAGGCUUAUUUCUAUCUGGGUGGGAUCCAAGUUUUGCUGAGGGCUUUAAAUAAUUGGGGAAAGACAUUAUCUUUGGAAACUCUUAAAAAUCCAACCUCUGUCCCUUGAUUCUUGCCAAAUCUCUCCCACAGUUCCCAUUAAAUGGAUUACCCUGUC